rnacentral:lncRNA from 1 species
GAGGGUGUGGGUGAGGGGGGUAAAUGUGAACCGGUGGUGGUGGUGGUGGUGAUGAGUACUUGUAGGGUUUCUUUGGUGGUGGUGGAGGAGAUGAGUAAUGGUAUGGCGGCGGCGGUGGUGAUGAGUAAUGGUAAGGCUUCUUUGGUGGUGGAGGUGGAGAAUGGUAGUAGUAAGGCUUCUUAGGUGGUGGAGGAGGAGAAUGGUAGUAAUAUGGUGGUGGUGGUGAAGACACCGGCGGAGGUGGAGAAUGGUAGUAGUAGGGUGGUGGAGGUGAAGACACCGGUGGUGGUGGAGAAUGAUAGUAGUAAGGCUUCUUAGGGGGUGGUGGUGGAGAGUGAUAGUAGUAAGGUGCCUUCUUAGGCGGCGGAGGAGGGGAGGAGUAAUGGUACGGCGGAGACUUGGGUGGUGGGGGUGAUGAGUAGAGGUAGUUAUCAGCGGAGAUUUGCAAGCUUAGAGAAGAAAGC